ACUUGCCCCGCGCGCUCAUUGCGUCUAGGAGGGGAUCCAUUGAUCAGCGAAGCUGUUCCUCAGAGUGGAGGCGGGAUUCUUAGGGGAGAGCUCCUCAGCAAUUGGUUACAUUUGACGGCUUUAGUCCAGGGACCCAGACGCUACUGGAUAAGGCCAGCCCGGAGUGGGCGGGGAAAGGGGAGGAGGGCUAGAAGGUGGGUCGUGUUUGAUGUCGAUGGGGGCGGGGUGAAGAGACGGGUAAUUGUGACCGCAAACUGCUUUAGAGGGCUGGGUAAGGUCAGCUGUCGACUGGGCUCAGAGGAAUGAGGUCGGCUGGUAGCUCAGCUGCUGGUAGCUCAGCUGGGGCUCUUAUGGGUCCAGGCCGACUGACUGACUCACGUGUACUCAAAUUUCGCAGGGGUGAAAUUUGAGGUCAUAUCCCGGGAGAGAGGAAGAAGGGUCGUGAGUCACCGAACCCGAAGGAGAGGAAAAGAUGUGGAGGCAGCGGUCUAUGGCCUCUUCCAGCUCCGGACGGGGGAUGGGGACGCUCUGGGCAAUACGGGCCUCAGUUAUUGUCCCACUGUCCUUUCAACCCUUAACCAACCCAGUUGGAGGCCGCCUGGAAGAAUGUAGCCUUGGAACUAGGGCCUGGAAUUGGGGCUCCUACCGGUUGUGUGGGCUUGGGUUGUGACAAGGAACAGUGGGCUGGCUCAAGUUUUAUGGAGCGUAACCAAAUAACAUCCUUUGAAGGCUGAUCAGCACCGGACCAGAAAUCAUUGCAUGAGCUCUAUCUGUCAGAGACCCCUGAAACCCAUUCCCCAUUCUGAAGGUGUAGACAUCACAGAGUGUGGACAGAAAUAGCUUCUCA
rnacentral:lncRNA from 1 species